AAUAAAAACGAGCGCGUUCUUCCCCCCAAUUUUCAUUCUUUUUUGCAUCGGCCAUGGCUCUUCAAGCGAGAAAGCUGGUGAAAUCCUUGAUUUCCUCGUCGAAGUUCCUCUCACGAUCUCGAACCUAUGCGGCCGCCGCCCAAUCUCCGUCGCCGGCGGUGUUCGUCGACAAGAACACGCGGGUGAUCUGCCAGGGGAUCACCGGAAAGAACGGAACUUUCCACACCGAGCAGGCGAUCGAGUACGGUACUGCGAUGGUUGGUGGAGUGACACCUAAAAAAGGAGGAACCGAACACCUGGGACUUCCAGUAUUCAACUCAGUUGCAGAAGCAAAGGCAGAGACAAAAGCCAACGCAUCAGUUAUUUACGUACCACCACCUUUCGCUGCAGCUGCAAUUAUGGAGGCAGUGGAAGCUGAGCUGGACCUUGUUGUCUGUAUUACCGAGGGAAUCCCUCAGCACGACAUGGUUCGUGUAAAGGCUGCUCUUAACAAGCAAUCUAAAACUCGUUUGAUAGGGCCGAACUGUCCAGGCAUUAUCAAGCCUGGAGAAUGUAAAAUUGGAAUAAUGCCUGGGUAUAUUCACAAGCCAGGGCGCAUUGGGAUUGUAUCUAGAUCUGGUACUUUGACAUAUGAAGCGGUUUUUCAAACAACUGCGGUUGGUCUGGGGCAGUCCACCUGUGUGGGUAUAGGUGGUGACCCCUUCAAUGGGACAAAUUUUGUAGAUUGCGUAAGGAAGUUCCUUGAUGAUCCACAGACUGAAGGUAUUAUUCUUAUAGGAGAGAUUGGAGGAACUGCAGAAGAGGAUGCUGCAGCUCUGAUCAAGGAAAGUGGAACAGAGAAACCUGUUGUUGGGUUUAUAGCUGGACUUACUGCACCACCAGGCCGCCGUAUGGGUCAUGCUGGAGCAAUUGUAUCCGGUGGUAAGGGAACCGCCCAGGACAAAAUCAAAACCCUAAGAGAAGCAGGCGUGACAGUGGUCGAGUCCCCUGCGAAGAUUGGCAUAGCUAUGCUCGAAGUCUUCAAGCAGCAUGGACUUGUAGAGUAGCUGGAAAGUUUCAAUACGCUCCAAAGGUUUCAUACAUUCUGGAUUAUUUGAAGGCAAAAAUCCAAGUGCAACAGAUAGCAGGUCACGUAGAUGAAUGUAACCUUGAAAGAGAUGAUAUUGGGUUUGGGGUAGACUGGGUAGUGGUGGUCUCCCUUUGACCGGGGUUACUUUCUCUUUUCUUUUCUGAGUGAUGUGUGUGUAAAUAUAUUUGUCAUGUUGCUCUAUUUUUUUUUCUUGUUAGUUUUGUUCGGAAAUACCCUGAUUUAGUUUUAUGAGGAGAGUGAAACAUAAAAUCUUUUAUA